UACAGAGGGUGCAAGCGUUGUUCGGAAUCACUGGGCGUAAAGCGCGCGCAGGCGGGAAAGCAAGUCUGUAAGUGAAAUCCAGCCGCUCAACGGCUGGGCUGCUUCGGAUACUACUUUUCUAGGGACCGGUAGAGGCUGGUAGAAUUGCAGGUGUAGCGGUGGAAUGCGUAGAGAUCUGCAAGAAUACCGGUGGCGAAGGCGGCAUCCUGGACCGACAUUGACGCUGAGGAGCGAAAGCCAGGGGAGCAAACGGG
rnacentral:rRNA from 1 species